rnacentral:rRNA from 1 species
AGUGAACGCUGGCGGCGUGCUUAACACAUGCUAGUCGAACGAUGAAGCUUUAGCUUGCUAGAGCGGAUUAGUGGCGCACGGGUGAGUAAUGUAUAGUUAAUCUGCCCUUUAGAGGGGGAUAACAGUUGGAAACGACUGCUAAUACCCCAUACUCCUUCUCUAUUAAUUAGAGUUGGGAAAGUUUUUUCGCUAAAGGAUGAGACUAUAUGGUAUCAGCUAGUUGGUGGGGUAAUGGCUCACCAAGGCAAUGACACCUAGCUGGUCUGAGAGGAUGAUCAGCCACACUGGAACUGAGACACGGUCCAGACUCCUACGGGAGGCAGCAGUGGGGAAUAUUGCACAAUGGAGGAAACUCUGAUGCAGCAACGCCGCGUGGAGGAUGACACAUUUCGGUGCGUAAACUCCUUUUAUAUGGGAAGAUAAUGACGGUACCAUAUGAAUAAGCACCGGCUAACUCCGUGCCAGCCGCCGCAGUAA